CCUCAGAUGUCUUCUGUAAAUCCUUUCUCAGGACCAGUCAUUUCAGGUCAGGCUUGGCAACCAAAGAAUACUCACUCAUUUGAAUAUGGAAAAAUGGAUAACAUGAAGAAUGAUGGACUGUGGAGAUCUCUUUGGUGCAUUCUCUUCAUCAACACUAGUGCAUGAUAUGGAGUGUACUGAAUCAGCAGACCAAGAGAUCUGAUUGGGUCUGGAUCACCUGGAAGACAGCUGGUAUUUUCCUCACUGAAUCAUGGUGUCAUGGAAGGGGAUUUAUUUUAUACUCUUCCUGUUUUCAGGAAGCUUUUUUGGAAGUAUUUUUAUGCUGGGUCCCAUUAUUCCUUUGAUGUUUAUAAGCCUGUCAUGGUAUCACUGGAUCAGCAGCCGACUUGUGGCUACAUGGCUCAUGCUU